AGGGUUUGAUUAUGGCUCAGGAUGAACGCUAGCUACAGGCUUAACACAUGCAAGUCGAGGGGCAGCAUUUUAGUUUGCUUGCAAACUAAAGAUGGCGACCGGCGCACGGGUGAGUAACACGUAUCCAACCUGCCGAUAACUCGGGGAUAGCCUUUCGAAAGAAAGAUUAAUAUCCGAUAGUAUAUUUUCUCCGCAUGGCGAGAAUAUUAAAGAAUUUCGGUUAUCGAUGGGGAUGCGUUCCAUUAGUUUGUUGGCGGGGUAACGGCCCACCAAGACUACGAUGGAUAGGGGUUCUGAGAGGAAGGUCCCCCACAUUGGAACUGAGACACGGUCCAA
rnacentral:rRNA from 1 species